AGUCUCUCUCCGUUCCUUCUUCUCCUUCCCUUUCCUGACACAUCCCAGCGUCCAGCCAGCAAACCCUUGAGUCCAGGCUCGGGGCUCACCGGGUGCGGGAGGGAGUGGGAGUGAGACCCGCUGCCUCCUGGGGUGCUCCUCUAGGGGCGUAGGGGGACUGGGUGGGAGAGGAUCACUUUCAGUGGAAGGAGGAGACCAGUGAUUGCAUCCCAACUCUCCCAAGUGCUCCCUGCCUAGACCACCUCUCUCCGGGUCUGGGAUGCAAGAAGGUCUGGAGCUGGCCGUUACUAACUUUCUGUUGUCAAGACCCAGGGGUACGUGCGAAGGAUAGAGAAGAGCCCCCGAUUAACCGCUGUGUGGCCAGGAAGAGGGACUGGGAGUGGGGGUGGGUGCCCAGAGCUUGCACAGAUCCCCAUGUCAAGCGGACACCCGCCUGGCUCUUCAGUAAAAGAGUGAAGAAAGGCCGAGCACAGCGCGAAGGAAACCUGAGGUCUCCGGCAAGGCAGGAGAGGAGACCAAGUGACUCCCCGAAACCCACCCUCCAGCCCUUCGAGAGGCCCAGAGUCCAGCCGGAGCAAGCGUAACGCUACAGUCCCUGGCGCGCAUCCCUGCAGACCCCAGCUCGCCCCGGGGUCCCGCCGCCGCCGCCGCCACCGCCUGCGACUGCGAGGGUCCUGGCCCGAGGGUGCACCAGCACCUCCUUCCACUACCGGCCCUUUAUCUGACAAAAGAGCCGGAGCCCAUGACUCUCCGACUGUGAGCAGUGUGGCCUUUCCAAGCCUCCAGAACUUUCUCAUUACAACUUUUCCGGGGUCGCACUACUCCCUGGGCCGCGCGGGCUCGGGCACGAGGACCUGGCCAGGGCGCAGCGCCGGCACGAAGGCGCGCGCCGCAGAACUGUUUCCUCAGCCGCGUGCCGGGGAACUAACUGUUUCCUCAGCCGCGUCCAGCCUCGCAGCACUGCUCUUCUGCUUGCUACUCCAGCGAAGGGACAUGCCUGCUGGCCAGGACGCUUAGUGGGCCUCGUAACCUGGCGAGUGUGUGCCCGCGCGUGUCCACCCUGCCCCCGGCCGGUGCGCCCCGCGCGCCCAAACCCGGCCGGCGACCACUGCGCGCCGGGCGCUUCCAAACUGCUCCUGUCCAGAGGCAUCCCUCUUUCGGCUUUCUCCAUCCCGCGUCCGCUUCCGCACCCGAGAGCGACAAGCAAAAAAGAUUCAGUGCAACUCAAGGACUGGUUUGUUAUACUCAAAAUGUACCAGGAACAGGAACAAAAGUAUUUUAUAAAAUAAUUAAUUUUUAUGGGCUAUGAGUCCCAAAUGGUUAUGUAAUCAAAGUGGAAGCAGAAAAGCAUGGCUUAGAAAAUAAUUGGUCAUGUCAUGUCACGCUUAACACAUGUGCAGACUCUGCCCUCCAGGUUGCAGUGCGAUGGUGUGAUCAAUGCUCAUAGUAGCUUCAAACUCCCAGGAUCAAGUGAUCCUCCUAAAUAAACCUCCUGAGUAGCUGGGACUACAGCUUCCACCAUGGGAUGAUACAGCAUGAAGGCCCUCACCAGAUAUGCACCCCUUGAUUUUGGACUUCCCAGACUCCAGAACUUACAUUUUCAUGCUGCUGAUAAAGAUGUACCCAAGACUGAACAAUUUACAAAAGAAAGGUUUAAUUGGACUUACAGCUCCAUGUGACUGGAGAAGCCUCACAAUCAUGGUGGAAGACAAGGAGGAACAAGUAACAUCUUACAUGGAUGGCAGUAGGGAAAAAGAGAGAGAGCGAGCUUGUGCAGGGGAAUGCCUCUUUUUAGAACCAUCAGAUCUUAUCUCUGUGGUUACUCUGUGAAUUGGUCUGUACAGGCCCACUUGAGUACAGAUGAGCCAUUUCAGCUAAGCCUACAAGACACUUCCAGCUAAACCUAGCCCAAAUUGCCAACUUGCAGAAUUGUAAGCUAAAUAAAUGACUGUAAGCCGUUAAGUUCUGAGGUGUUUUUUAUGCAGGAAAAAGUAACUAUUACAACGUUGAAGCUAAAUCGAUACUUUUAUUGUGUAUAUAGGAUCUUACAUUAAGAUAUAGGUAAUUGGU
rnacentral:lncRNA from 1 species